rnacentral:lncRNA from 1 species
GCCGGGAAGUUAGGGGAGGUUUCCCUGAUCUGCAGGAAUCAGCGUGGACGGCAGAGCCUCCCUGACAGGAGAGGGAAUAGUUAUGGAAGGACCUGAGAUGAGUGGAGGCGAGUGUGGAGAGGCUAUGCAGGCCCAGACUCUGGGACCCCGUAGGCCAUGGGAAGAACUUCGAUCUUCAGUCCAGGAGCCCUGGGAACGGAAUAUUGUUGUUUGACUUUUGCGAUGAUCAGUUUCACAUAUCCACUUGGCCAGUCGCUGGUACCCGGUUAUUCCAUCAAACACUAAAUCAGAUUAUCCUGGGUGAGACUGAUUCAAUCAGCUGAAAGACCUCAGGAGCGGAACUGAGGCUUCCCUGAGAAAACAUAAAUUCUGCCUAUGGACAGCAAUUUCAGUUCACCCCUAAAAUCCCACCCUCCUCUUUCUGAUGGCCUGUGCUGUGGACUUCCGAUGUGCCUUGCCAGCGCCCACAAUCAUGUGCAGCAAGUUGCCUUUUUAAAAUGUGCACUUUGGCCGGG